GUUUCUGUGGUGUGGUGGUUAUCACGUUUGCUUUACACGCAAAAGGUCUCCCGUUCGAUCCCAGGCAGGAACA
rnacentral:tRNA from 2 species